UGCCCAGCAACUCCUAUCCCUACCUCCUCAUGGUACCGGCCGAAAACUAUGAGCAACCUUAAGGAAGAUCGGGACCCCGGUGGGAACUUUGGUCAUAGGCUGACAGGGAAGG
rnacentral:ribozyme from 1 species